GAGUGACAGAGGGGUAUAAAAUACAGAUUAAUGGGUCAAAGGAGUGAUAGAGGGGUAUAAAGGUAGGAUAGAGGGGCAGAAAAUACAGAUGAAUGGGUCAAAGGAGUGAUAGAGGGGUAUCAAGGCAGGAUAGAGGGGCAGAAAAUACAGAUGAAUGGGUCAAAGGAGUGAUAGAGCGGUAUAAAGGUAGGAUAGAGGAGCAGAAAAUACAAAUGAAUGGGUCAAAGGAGUGAUAGAGGGGUAUCAAGGUAGGAUGGAGGAGCAGAAAAUACAGAUGAAUGGGUCAAAGGAGCGAUAGAGGGGUAUGAAGGUAGGAUAGAGGGGCAUUAAAUACAGAUGAAUGGGUCAAAGGAGCAAUAGAGGGGUAUCAAGGUAGGACAGAGGGGCAGAAAAUACAGAUGAAUGGGUCAAAGGAGUGAUAGAGGGGUAUCAAGGCAGGAUAGAGUGGCAGAAAAUACAGAUGAAUGGGUCAAAGGAGUGAUAGAGGGUAUCAAGGCAGGAUAGAGGGGCAGAAAAUACAGAUGAAUGGGUCAAAGGAGUGAUAGAGGGGUAUCAAGGAAGGAUAGAGGGGCAGAAAAUACAGAUGAAUGGGUCAAAGGAGUGAUAGAGCGGUAUAAAGGUAGGAUAGAGGAGCAGAAAAUACAAAUGAA